rnacentral:rRNA from 1 species
ACUCAAAGGAAUAGACGGGGACCCGCACAAGCAGCGGAGCGUGUGGUUUAAUUCGAUGCGACGCGAAGAACCUUACCUGGGUUCAAUGCCAGUUGCACCACCCGUAAUGGGGUGUCCCCGCAAGGGGCGGCUGGCACGGUGCUGCAUGGCUGUCGUCAGUUCGUGCCGUGAGGUGUUGGGUUAAGUCCCCUAACGAACGCAACCCCCGGUGCCGGUUAUCCAUCCGGCGCAACUGCCGCGCAGAACGCGGAGGAAGGUGGGGAUGAUGUCAAGUCAGCACGGCCCUUACGCCCAGGGCUACACACACGCUACAAUGGCCGGGACAAUGAGUUGCCACCUCGCGAGGGGGAGCUAAUCUCUUAAACCCGGUCUCAGUUCGGAUAGCAGGCUGCAACCCGCCUGCUUGAAGUCGGAGUUGCUAGUAACCGCUGGUCAGCACACAGCGGUGAAUACGUUCCCGGGUCUUGCACACACCGCCCGU